rnacentral:lncRNA from 1 species
AUAAUUUAAAUUGUGAUUGACGUCAUGAUAACGUCACAUAGGCUGAGCGCUGGGAUAGGCAAUUAUUGACUGACUUCUCCAUUAGGCUCGCCUUGGGUCCAAUUGCCCAAGUGGGCUGGAGUGUUUUGGGGAAGGGGAGAGUGGAUUGGGUUGCCUUUCCCUAAGGCAAUAAGCAACAGUGGAGUUGCUCUUACAUGGGUAUCCAUAACCAUUAUGGGGAGAACUGAAACUCUUAGGCCUCUAAGGUGUCUUGGAAAUGCAUUUAUUGUGUUUCUUAUGAUUAAACUACCCUUAUAAUAGAUUAAAAAUACUUUUUUUCCCCUCAAAUUUUUUGGUUUUUUUUAUAAGGGUAUUAAUAUUAUUGAAAAUUUAAACAAAUAUUUAGUCGUCCUAUUUCACAAAUCGAGCCUUGGAACAAGAAUCAAAGGCCUUAUUUGACUAUCAAAUUAUCACUUCCAAACAAACACUUGAAAGGGGCCACAGGAAAUGAGCCAAUAAUGUAUAUUAAGCAAGACUUUUAAGCAAUUUUUUUUUUAAGUUAUGAGAAUAGUUUGAGUAGAUAACUUCAAAAUUUAGGCGCAAAUAACAAUCAAAUCUAUAUCUUUCAGAAUCAAGCUCAACUCAAUUCAAUUUAAAGGUCAUUAACACAAACUAUCAUGCUAAUCUACAUAUGGUGAUAACCACUCACCACAUAAAGUUUAAUUGAAACUGAUAAAACUUCUGGAUCCUUAAACUCCACAAGCUGCCAAAUGAAGACACAUAAAGAGAACAAGGAGCAAAUCAAAACACAAAAAGAAAUUUUCACAUCACUGAUAAUUACGAGUCUUCUCCCAUGUGAAAGCUACACUUUCAGUAAUUAGUUCUUCACAAGAUUUAAAAUAUCAAUGUUUUUAUUCUCAAGGACUUAAUAUAAGAUCAAGGUGGACCGAUUUUAAGUAAAAAGAUGUUUCCAAUUUUCACAAUAUCAACUCAAUAUAUGCCAUCACCAUAACAAAACGUCCUCAUUUCAGCCAUUAGCACCAUGUUCAUCUAACUAUAAAAUCAUCAUUUUUAUCACCACCUCAUAAGUCUGUAAGGACGCUAACAUAACCACUGCAACAACACUAGUACAUACUAGGUUCCACCAAUGAACUAAUGUGAUUGUACUACUAAAAUCACAUGCCACCACCUCUUGGUUAUACAAUCCGCCACUGUUACCAAAAACAUGCAAUUGAAACAAGCAUCACACGUGCCAUCAUUGACAGCAGCACUCCUACUACCGCCUGCCAGACCACAUGUACCUAGUUUAUCUGAUUGUUGAUAUAACUAUCUGACAAACGUUAUCAAGAAAAUAUGAAAGCCUAGAUGCCUCUUGAAGGCUAGAAAAAGGCUUCAUUAUAGGCGUAUUCUAAUAACUUUCAUUAAUGGAUGCACAUUUAGAAUGUACACUCGUAAUGUUCUAAAGUUAUCAUCUAACAUAGAUCAUGAAUGUAAGUUCAUAAUGCAUAGCAACUGUUAAUAAGGAUGAACAUUACAUAACGUAUUUUAAAGCCAUGAUUGAACAUCAGACAUUCCUAAUGUAGACCAUGAACUCGAUGCACUACGUCAGACAAACACUUAACAAGUAUCUUGAGUCGUUAUCAUAAUAACAAGAGGUUUAUAAUUGGUUUGAGGAUUAACCCAUAAAGCAUAUCCGUACUAAUAUACUUUACAAGCUACUUUGGUACUUGUACAAGAUUGCAUACACUAAUGCCUACUUAUGAGCAUAUCAUGAAAUAAAGCAAGAUUGUGAAGCCUAUAUGUUUAGUAAGCAGACCCUUGGGAAUGUGAUGCCUUUUAGAUGGGCAUCCCUAACCAUUAGGGGGAGAAACUGAAACUCUAGGGCCUCUUGAAUAUAUGCUUUUCCCAUGCCUCGGAAAUGCAUUUAUUGUGUUUUUUAUGAUUAAACUGCCCUUAUAAUAGAUUAAAAAUAUAUUUUCCCCCUUAAAAAUUUUGGUUUUUUAUAAGGUUAAAUAUUAUUGAAAUUUUAAGCAAAUAUUUAGUCCUACUAUUUCACAAACUGAGCCUUGGAACAAGAAUCAUAGGCCGUAUUUGGUUAUCAAAUUAUCACUUCCCAGCAAACACUUGAAAGGAGGGCAAUAGGAAAUGAGCCAACAAUGUAUACUAAGCAAGACUUGAGUAAUUUUUUGAAGUUAUGAGAAUAGUUUGAGUAUUUAACUUCAAAAUUUAGGCGCAAAUAAGAAUCAAAUCUAUAUCUUUCAGAAUCAAGCUCAACUCAAUUCAAAUUAUAGGUUCAUUUGCACAAACUAUCAUGCUAAUCUACAUAUGGUGAUAACCACCCUGAUGAAACUUGUGGAUCCUUAAAAUCCACAAUCUGUCAAAUGAAGACACGUUAAGAGAAAAAGGAGAAAAUCAAAACACAAAAGAUAUUUUCACAUCACUGUAAUUACCAGUCUUUUCCCAUGAGAAACCUUUACUUUCAGUAAUUGUUUCUUUACAAGAUUUAAAAUUCAAUUUUUUUUUAUUCUCAAGGACCUUUUACAGAUAUAAGAUCAAGGUCAACCACUUCUAAGUAAGAAGAUGUUUUGAAUUAUUCACGAUAUCAACUCAAUAUAUGCCAUCGCCCUAACAAAACAUCACAUUUCGGCCAUAGCACCAUGUACAUCUAACUAUAAAAUCAUCACUUUAUCACCACCUCAACUGUAACUGUAUGGACACUAACAUAACCGCUGCAAUGACACUAGUGCACUAGUAGGUUCCACCAAUGAACUAAUGCGAUUGUACUACUAAAAUCAUCAUGUCACCACCUUAUACAAUCCGCCACCAUUACCACAACGAUUCAAUUGAAACAAACAUCACCACUUGCGAUUGUUGACACCAGCAGUACUACUACCGCCUGCUGGCCACAUGUACCUAGUUCAUCUGAUGGUUGAUGAUAACUAUCUGACAAACUUUAUUAAGAAAAUAUGAAAGCCUAGAUGGCUCCUGAAGGCUAGAAAAGGGCUUAUUUUUAGGCGUAUUCUACUAACUUCAACUAAUGGAUGCACAUCUAGAACGUAAAUUCAUAAUGUUUUAAAGUUAUCAUCUAAUAUGGAUCGUUAAUAUAAGUUCCUAAUGCAUUGCAACUGUUAAUAAGGAUGAACAUUAAGUUGUAUUUUAAAGCUAUGAUUGAACAUCAGACAUUCCUAAUUUAGACCAUGAACUCGAUGCACUGCACCAGACAAACACGCAAACAAAUGGAGUGUUUUUCUGAUAAACACACAUAACCGAACAAAUCUUGAAUUGUUAUCAUAAUAGCAAGAGUUUUAAUUGGUUCGGGGGUUAACCCAUAAAGCAUUGGUACUACUAUAGUAUACUUGUACAAGAUUGCAUACAGUAAUGGCUACCCAUCGGCAUAUCAUGAAAUAAAGAGAAACUGGGAAGCCUACAUGUUCCAAGAAACGGAACCAGAGACCGAGUCGACAAAAUCAGUAGCAACUACUACCUCGAUUUGUCAACUAUAGACCCUAUAUAUCAUAAAGAUAACACUUACAAGAAAUGAUGGAUCACAGACAGCCUAAUAAAAGCUAGGAUCUAAACCGAAACGUGUAACACAUGACAUGAAUUUAACAUAAUUACGAGAAGGGAAAAAUACAGGUGC